GUCUUCGUCUGUUUGCUGGAGUAAGAGUUGAAGUGUUGGAGGAGACUUGGUGUUGAUGGAUGGGGUUUAUUGGAGGGUUUCCUCCAGGACAGAGGAGGAAUGGCAGCGUUGAUGUCGCAGCAGGAAUCUCCGCCCUCAGAGUCGACAGGAGGAGACGACUUCUUCUCCUUCUCGUCCCCGUCAGACUCGUCCACGGUCAGAGGGACGAGGGAGCUGGACUUCCUGGAAGAGGACGGAGACUCAGAGCUAAACACAUGGAGAUGAAGCGUUAAAGAACUGACUCACUGCCACCAGGUGGAGGGAAGCUGCAUUGCAGCCUCGUCGCCCACAGAUGCAGAACUGAUUUGUUUGCAGCCCAGUAGGUGGCGCUCUGCCACAUGGUUAACAAUCAAUGGACUCAAUAAAAUGACCGAAGGUAAAAGUUUUGGAGUCGGCUACAACAGGAAAACACCCAGGAUGGAUUUUUGUUUGUAUAACUAAAAUAAAGUUGCUCCAGUG